rnacentral:misc_RNA from 1 species
GAUGAAGAACGUAGUGAAAUGCGAUAAGUAGUGAGAAUUGCAGAAUUCAGUGAAUCAUCGAAUCUUUGAACGCACAUUGCGCCCCUUGGUAUUCCGAGGGGCAUGCCUGUUCGAGCGUCAUUAUAACCCUCAAGCUCAGCUUGGUGUUGGGGCCUGCUGCAGUGGCAGCCCUUAAAAUCAGUGGCGGCGCCAUCUGGCUCUAAGCGUAGUAAUUCUUCUCGCUAUGGAGUCCUGGUGGAUGCUUGCCAUCAACCCCCAAUUUUUCUAUGGUUGACCUCGGAUCAGGUAGGGAUACCCGCUGAACUUAAGCAUAUCAAUAAGCGGAGGA